rnacentral:rRNA from 1 species
CUCGUGUCGUGAGAUGUUGGGUUAAGUCCCGCAACGAGCGCAACCCUUAUUGUUAGUUGCCAUCAUUCAGUUGGGCACUCUAGCAAGACUGCCGGUGACAAACCGGAGGAAGGUGGGGAUGACGUCAAAUCAUCAUGCCCCUUAUGACCUGGGCUACACACGUGCUACAAUGGGAAGUACAACGAGUUGCGAAGUCGCGAGGCUAAGCUAAUCUCUUAAAGCUUCUCUCAGUUCGGAUUGCAGGCUGCAACUCGCCUGCAUGAAGCCGGAAUCGCUAGUAAUCGCGGAUCAGCACGCCGCGGUGAAU